rnacentral:rRNA from 1 species
UUACUAGGUCAGGACACAGUAAGGAUUGACAGAUUGAAAGCUCUUUCUUGAUUUUGUGGAUGGUGGUGCAUGGCCGUUUUUAGUUGGUGGAUUGAUUUGUCUGGUUAAUUCCGAAAACGAACGAGACCUUAACCUGUUAACUAUGUGAUGUUAAAAUUCGACUUCGGUCUCAAUAUUUGAUAUUAAAAAUUUAAUACUUCUUAAAGGAACAAUUCAAACUUUAAUUGAAUGGAAGUUUAAGGCAAAAACAGGUCUGUGAUGCCCUUCGAUGUUCUGGGCUGCACGCGCGUUACACUGAUAUGUUCAAUGAGUUUUUAAAUUUCCUAGUCUGAAAAGACGUGGUAAACUUAGAAAAACAUAUCGUGAUUGGAAUAGUAUUUUGUAAUUAUCGCACUUGAACGAGGAAUUCCUAGUAGGGGCAAUUCAUCAAAUUGCCCCGAUUACGU